rnacentral:rRNA from 1 species
CCCCGUAAACGAUGUCAACUAGCCGUUGGAAAGGUAAUCCUUUUAGUGGCGCAGCUACGCUUUAAGUUGACCGCUGGGGAGUACGGUCGCAAGAUUAAAACUCAAUGAAUGACGGGGGCCCGCACAAGCGGUGGAGCAUGUGGUUAUUUGACGCAACGCGAAGACCUUACCUGGUCUUGACAUCUGCGAACUUUCUAAGAUAGAUUGGUGCCUUCGGAACGCAGUGACAGGUACUGCAUGGCUGUCGUCAGCUCGUGUCGUGAGAUGUUGGGUUAAGUUCCCGUAACGAGCGCAACCCUUGUCCUUAUUUGCCAUCAUUUAGUUGGGCACUCUAGGGAGACUGCCGGUGACAAACCGGAGGAAGGCGGGGACGACGUCAAGUCAUCAUGGCCCUUACGACCAGGGCUACACACGUGCUACAAUGGGGCGUACAAAGGGUUGCAAUCCCGCGAGGGGGAGCUAAUCCCAUAAAACGUUUCGUAGUCCGGAUCGCAGUCUGCAACUCGACUGCGUGAAGUCGGAAUCGCUAGUAAUCGUAGAUCAGAAUGCUACGGUGAAUACGUUCCCGGGCCUUGUACACACCGCCCGUCACACCAUGGGAGUGGGUUGCAAAAGAAGUGGGUAGCAUAACCUUCGGGAGUGCGCUCACCACUUUGUGAUUCAUGACUGGGGUGAAGUCGUAACAAGGUAGCCGUAGGGGAACCUGCGGCUGGAUCACCUCCUU